rnacentral:other from 1 species
UGCUCUCUGCCCUGUAUGUGUGGUUGCUAUACCCACGCGGAAUAUUUUUCAAUCGGGAAGGUUCUUGUGAAAGUGGUGUGCCAGCCUGCCUCGAAGCAGGACGCCUAAAGCGUUCACCGUUCCCCCCACCUAGUUGACCGUCGUCGUGAGGUCACGAACCCACGGCAGGCGUGGAGGGCAA